GAAGCUGAAAGACAAGGAAGUGGUCAGGCGAGAAUGAGGCAUGUAGUGAUGUGACCCUGCAAAACUGCCAUUGAUGAAAAUGCAUCACAGGACUCAGUAAACACAGUGUGCCCUUGGGCUCUCCAGCUGUCCUACAGCAAGGUGAUCUAUCCAGCCUUUCCUUAGCCACUGCUCUGUAAGGACAGCAGUGUGCCCUUGUGGCCCAGAAGCCCAAAGGAAUCCUGGAAGGCAUCAGGAAGAGGAUUUCCAGCAGGUGGAGAGAGGUGAUCCUGUCCUUCUUCUCAGUUCUGGUGAGACUGCAUCUGUGGUAAUAUUAUCCAGGUCUGGGCUUCUCACCACAAGAGACACAUGGAGCUCCUGGAGCAGGUCCAGCAGAGGGCUACAAAGAUCAUUAAGGGACUGGAGCAUCUCUGUUUCAAGGAAAGGCUGUGGGAGCUGGAUCUCUUCAGCCUCGAAAGGAGAUGACUGAGAGGGAACCUCACCAAUGUCUGUCAGUGUCUGAAGGGAGGGUGCCAAGAGGAUGCACCCAGCCUGUUCUCAGGGGUGCUGAGCACUAGGAUAAGAGGUGAUGGGCACAAACUGCUGUACAGGAAAUUCCACCUGAACAUGAGCAAGAACUUCACGGUGCAGUGACUAAGCACUGAAACAGAUUGUCCAGAGGCUGUGGAGUCUCUCUCACUGGAGAUAUUCAAGAGCUCUCUGAAUGCAAUUCUGUGCAGUAUGCUCUAGGAUGACCCUUCCAGCCUUUCCCAUUAUGUGAUUCUGUGUUUCUGUGAAAGAAAACCUAAACCUACCCCUUUAAGUACCUAGAACCAGGACAGCAUCCCCUUGGAAGGACGUGCCUCAGCGUUCCCAUCUAUUUCAGAGAAAUAAAACAGGUGUCUUCUGCAGGAAAUUCCAGGCAGAUGAGAAAAAUAUAUUGAAGACAAGUAAACAAUCCAUUAUUCUUCUUUAACCAUUUGGUAGAAUAGAAUAUCAGAAACUCUUUGGAAUUUCCAUGGACACAGGCACCAUGAGGCCACAGAUGAAAACAACUCCUUCCCAAUCAAAUCUUGUAACAAAUGGUCUCAGCUGAAAAAGGAACUAAAGAGCUCAUGGCAAAACACAAAACAUUUGGUCUUCAUAAAUGUAUAUUUUACCAUGGGUGCAACCUGGAAAACUGUAUGUCACAAACAGAAAAUUCACAGAAUGGAUGGGAAACAGGACCAGGAUAGUGAUAGACAUGUCUGGGCACCAGCAUUUUCCUUAUCAGCCUGUGCAGUGAAUUCUCUGAAGAAGCAGGGGAAGUUGGUCCAUGCUCCCCAUUUUACCUGAUCUGUUGUUGCUAUGGGAAAGGAGAAAAUGAGCUUUAUUGAGGGCAAAGAACAGGCAGAAGUGUGGAAUGUAUGCUGAACAAAGAAAACAUUCCCUGAGGGAAAUUUCUCACGUAAAACACCAGCACACAUAUCUUCCUUGUCUCCCGCUUAACAGGAUGGAUAGCCGAACCCAUACACUGAAAAGAGGUGUUUUCUUGCCAUCUUUCCCCCGAAGCCCCGGGAGCAGCGGGCGGUCCCGCGGGGACGGGGGUGGCACUCUCCAGGGUCCUGGACUGAAGGCUCGGCAGCGCUGCUGACUGGGUUGGGUCAGGAUCAUGGAACAAGAUCAUCGCUCUGACUUCACAGAUGACUGCAGAAGUACGAGGCUUUCACCAAGAGACCUCAACACUGUUUCUGCUUUUCUCUUUAGUAAGAAGAAUUAUUAAUUUAAGGGAGCAUAUGGCUCAUUUCUAAUCAGUUGUACAUUAGCACUUGGGAACGGGUUCUCUCACCACAAAAAACCCCCUGCUUUAUGAGAUAUGAAUUGCACAUAAGGAAAACUAGCUAAGGAAACUGAAACAAAUGAGAACAGACAAAGCAGUGGAUCUGAUCUGCAAAUCUGUGAAAUGGGAGUUCAAACUACAAUUGGACAAUUUAACACAGAAAAGAAGGUCACCCUCUUUCUGAAUGAGGAAGUGAGCAGAGAUUUGGGUGUAAUGUACUAAUGUUCACCCCUGCACACCAAAUGGGAGACUUUCAUUUGAACAUAUUUCUUCUUUAUUCAACAAAAUAAUUUAACUAGAGGAACUAAUACCUGGUAUAUCCCAAGGCAGAUGAGCUCUUUCUCUUGUGACUGGUGACUGUGGAUGUAAAAUUGAACUGUGGAGAAAUCAUUGGCUUCUGCUCUGAAAAUGAGCUAAAACCAGCAAAAAAAGAGUUGGACCUAUUUAACAAAAUAGCUACCAAAAUUAUGCCAGGAAAGAUGUGAGUGGAUGAGAUGCUUUCUUUCUAUUGCAAUUUGGUUGUGUGCCACGUUAAUUCCCAAAGGAAAUACCUUUUCUCAUUUUCUGAAUAAAAUUCUGUGUCCAGUA